rnacentral:rRNA from 1 species
AUUGAACGCUGGCGGCAGGCCUAACACAUGCAAGUCGAGCGGAUGAAGAGAGCUUGCUCUCUGAUUUAGCGGCGGACGGGUGAGUAAUGCCUAGGAAUCUGCCUGGUAGUGGGGGAUAACGUUCCGAAAGGAACGCUAAUACCGCAUACGUCCUACGGGAGAAAGCAGGGGACCUUCGGGCCUUGCGCUAUCAGAUGAGCCUAGGUCGGAUUAGCUAGUUGGUGAGGUAAUGGCUCACCAAGGCUACGAUCCGUAACUGGUCUGAGAGGAUGACCAGCCACACUGGAACUGAGACACGGUCCAGACUCCUACGGGAGGCAGCAGUGGGGAAUAUUGCACAAUGGGCGCAAGCCUGAUGCAGCCAUGCCGCGUGUAUGAAGAAGGCCUUCGGGUUGUAAAGUACUUUCAGCGGGGAGGAAGGCGGUGAAGUUAAUAACUUCACCGAUUGACGUUACCCGCAGAAGAAGCACCGGCUAACUCCGUGCCAGCCGCCGCAGUAAAAC